UCUCAGAUUUCCCUCAGCUUUCAUCAAAAAUAUCUUAAAUAGUGUUCCGAAGAUCAAAGAAGGUCUUACGGGUUUGGCACAACACAAGGUGGCAGAAUGAAAGCGAGCAGCGCAUCUCUCCUGCCGAUUACCUCCAUCUCUCCAACUGUGCCAAAGUGACUGAAAGAGGGAAGAGUCAUCUGCCUCCCGCGGUCUGCCAACACACAGACCACCAUGGGAAGUGAGGGAGCGAAAAAGAAAGAGGAAGAAAAAGAUAACUGGAGAGAUUGGACAGUCGGGAGCUUUUGAAGAGAAGAAAGACCGAAUUCUGCCCCAAGAACAGCGAUAACGGACAUGGGGUCCCACUGGGGGAUGGGCCGGAGGGGU
ensembl:lncRNA